GGAAUGAAAUAUGGAGUGUAAAAUAAUUUAAAAAUUUUUUAAAUUAAAAAAAAAAAGAAAAACAAUGUGAAAAGAAAUAAAUUAAAAAAAGAAAUAGUGGCCGGGCAUGGUGGCCCACGCCUUUAAUCCCAGAGGCAGGCGGAUUUCUGAGUUCGAGGCCAGCCUGAUCUACAAAUCUACAAAGUGAGUUCCAGGACAACCAGAGCUACAAAGAGAAACCCUGUCUCAAAAAACCACCAAAAAAAAAAGAAAAGAAAUAGUGGCGUAGCAAACGCCAGAUUCCACAGUUGUUUAUUUUAUAAUAGUCAUUUGCUUCAUUUCUUUUUCUCUUUCCUUCCCUCCCUUAAUCUCUUUUCUUCCUUCCUGUACUCUGGCAUUUUUAAAAGAAGUUUAUGAUAUUAUAUAUACAUGCUGACUCGAUACUGAUGUAACAUUACAUACAAAUACACUGUAAUAUACCUAGCCAGGUUUCUAUUGGGAGCCAUUUUUUUUCAUUGUUUUAGCUUCUUAUAAGAAGGGGGGCUGUAGAGAUGGCUCAGCGGUUGAGAGCACUGACUGCUCUUCUAGAGGUCCUGAGUUCAAUUCCUAGCACCCACAUGGUGACUAACAACCAUCUAUAAUGAGAUCUGGUGCCCUCCUCUGAUGUGCAGGCAGAACACUGUGUAUUUAAUAAAUAAAUGAAUCUUUUUAAAAAAAAAGAAAGAAAAAGGUUUGCAACUACAGAUACAUCCUUCCUCACACUCUGCACUCUCUUGGGUUGGAAUCUCCUGGAAAAGCGACUGCUGAAGAAGCAGUAUCGUAUCACCCAUAUACAAACUGCUGUUUAAUUCCAAACUGACAUUUCGAUUGUUACAGUUCUUAUUCUAAUCUAUCUGUACAGACCUAAGUUUUAUUGUUUUUUUUUAAUAUUCUUCAAUUUCCCAGUGUAAUAAAAUUUAAAAGAUUUUCUGUACAUUUAAAAAUUGGGUUGGUGCUGGAGGAAUGGUUCAGCAAUUCAGAGCACUAGUUGCUGGGUUUGCUUCCCAACACCAGCACCCUCUUUUGGCCUCCUGCCAAAAACCUGCAGGUACAAUACAGGUUAAAAGAGUUAAAUAUCACUGGUGCUGGAGAGAUGGCUCACUCAUUGCUUUAAGCAGAUGACGUAGAUUUUGCCAUCAGCACCCACAUAGUAGCUCACAGCUCUAACUUCAGAAUGGAGUCUGAUGCUACCAUUUCACAAAUGCCAGGCAUGCAAACAGUAUACAUAGAUAAAUUCUUACCCAUAAAAUAAAUCUUUUAAAAAAAUUAUGGGUAAAGCUGAGUAUAUUUAUUGUUGCUUUCUUUUGUAAGUUCAUGUCAAUUUUUCAAAUGUAUCAUUCUGAAUCUGUUACUUAUUAUUUAAAAAUCACUUAUUGAAUCUGAGUACUUGCCAACAGAGGCAGUGGAUGUCUGGGAUCAGGUCAGCCUGGUCUACAUAGUGAGUUCCAGGACAGCCAGGGCUACACAAACCUGUGUCCAAAAUCCAAAAAAAAUCAUUAUUUCCUAUUCCCAAUUCAAGGCCCUUCAGAAUCUGGCCUUUGCCUAUAUGUCAUACUCAAUAUUAUUCAAAAUAGUUGGACAAAGUGGCACACAAAUUAUAAUCUGUUUUGUCAUGUCCUUUAUCCAACGUCAGCUGUUUGAGGGACCAAGACUAUAGCUGUGGACAAAGCUCAGUCCUGUCCUUAUGAAGUUUACUGAGUGUAUGUAGCAGUCAUGUAGGUAUUUCACUUCUGUACUUAUUUAUGAACUGAACUUCUUUCAUGUAUUCACCUAUUUUGCGAGUGAUACACCUAAUUGAAGGUACAUAAUUAGGUUCUCAGAAGGGCUAUAGGCUCAUAGAAGAUAGCCUGGCUGUUGUGGUGUAUGCCUUUAAUCCCAGCACUCAAGAGCCAGAAGUAGGUGGGUCUCUGGGUAGGCCAGCCUGGUUUACAGAGGGAGUUCCGGGAGUAUACAGG
rnacentral:lncRNA from 1 species